rnacentral:rRNA from 1 species
GAUGAACGCUGACAGAAUGCUUAACACAUGCAAGUCUUUGGCGAAGCUGUGCUUGCACCGCCUAGCCAAGGCGGACGGGUAGGUAAGGCUAAAGGAACUUACCCUCCGUUCAGGAAUAACAUACGUAAAGGACGGAUAAGCCCUUGAAAGGUAAGCCGUACUCAUGCCCGGCUUAAUAAAAAAAGAUGCUGCAGGAGAGCCUUGCGGCCGAUUAGCUUGUUGGUGGGGUAACGGCCCACCAAGGGGAUGAUAGGUAGCCGGCCUGAGAGGGUGGACGGCCACAAGGGGACUGAGAUACGGCCCUUACUCCUACGGGAGGCAGCAGUGGGGAAUAUUGGACAAUGGGGGCAACCCUGAUCCAGCAAUUCUGUGUGCACAAUGAAGGUUUUCGGAUUGUAAAGUGCUUUCAGCAGGGAAGAAAAAAUGACGGUACCUGCAGAAGAAGCGACGGCUAAAUACGUG